rnacentral:rRNA from 1 species
AACGAACGCUGGCGGCAUGCCUAACACAUGCAAGUCGAACGAGACCUUCGGGUCUAGUGGCGCACGGGUGCGUAACGCGUGGGAAUCUGCCCUUGGGUUCGGAAUAACAGCGAGAAUUUGCUGCUAAUACCGGAUGAUGACGUAAGUCCAAAGAUUUAUCGCCCAAGGAUGAGCCCGCGUAGGAUUAGCUAGUUGGUGAGGUAAAGGCUCACCAAGGCGACGAUCCUUAGCUGGUCUGAGAGGAUGAUCAGCCACACUGGGACUGAGACACGGCCCAGACUCCUACGGGAGGCAGCAGUGGGGAAUAUUGGACAAUGGGCGAAAGCCUGAUCCAGCAAUGCCGCGUGAGUGAUGAAGGCCUUAGGGUUGUAAAGCUCUUUUACCCGGGAGUGAUAAUGACAGUACCGGGAGAAUAAAGCUCCGGCCUAAACUCCGUGCCAGCAGCCGCGGU